ensembl:lncRNA
GCCUAGGAAACCUAGAGUUUUGCUGGCUGAAUUUUUUACAGGCUGAAUUCAGCUGCCCCCUGACUUCACAGCUGUUCCUGCUGCCCUAAAGUGUCUGUCCCUCCAGCUCUGUCCCCUCAGCUGGGUCUGCAACGCUGAGUCUGGGAUUUUCUUAUGAAAAUGCCUGAUGGGUGGGAGGAAGAUCUGGAGGUCGGCUGGGGAAAAAAUGAGUAAUGCUAAGCAGUCUACUUAGUAAAUGCUGCACGAGAAAUAACAGUAAAAGCCGGCUUCUGUCUCUGGGGACUCCAGAAUGAUUCUGACUUAUCAUGUCACUGAGCAGAGUUGGGGGAAGCCAAAACUCGAAAUCUGCUGGCAAGGAAGGGAACGAAGGAAAAAAAAAAAAAAAGACAGGGAGGGGCAAUCCGGAGGGGGAGGAAAUAAAAAGAGAGAGAGGGAAAGACAAGCGUCAUUUAGGAACAGAGGUAGAGUGAAAGAACUCCAGGAUCUAAAACCUGCCCUACAGCACAAUAUUUUGUAUCUUUUCUUUUCCCCAGUGGAGAUUCCUGUCCUGUCAUUUUACUGGCUGAGGAGUCACUCGCUACAGGCUCUUUCCCCAGAAGCUGACGGAAGAAACUCAAGCGCUGUUGUUUCUGCCCUCCCAAGUCUGCUGUCUCGGCUGCUAAUGGAUUGCUUUCCUCUGAGCUUCCACCCUGGAGAGACCCCCCAGAUCUAGUCUGUGAACCCGGCUAGGAAACACCUGUAAAGAUGACUGAAGAGCCCAUAAAAGAGAUUCUGGGAGCCCCAAAGUCUUCCAAGCCAGUGGCAGUGGAGAAGAGCCCCGCCCGGGAAGUGGUGGUCACCACGGUCCCCUUGGUCCGUGAGAUUCAGCUGACGGCUGCGACCGGGGGUGCCGAGCUCUCCUGUUACCGCUGCAUCAUCCCGUUUGCCGUGGUGGUGCUCAUCGCCGGGGUCGUGGUCACUGCUGUGGCUUACAGCUUCAAUUCCCAUGGCUCCAUCAUCUCCAUCUUGGGUCUGGUCCUUCUGUCAUCUGGACUUUUUUUGUUAGCCUCCAGUGCCUUGUGCUGGAAGGUGAGGCAAAGGAGCAAGAAAGCCAAGAGACGGGAGAGUCAGACAGCUCUUGUGGCAAAUCAGAGAAGCUUAUUUGCUUAGGACUGAUGGGACCAAAUGGGAUACGUGGCCUGAAAACCCUCCUUUCACUGUGUCCUCCAAUUCACCCAGAACUAGCAUGGGAGAGGAUGAACGGAGCAUUGGACUAGACCCGAGGAAUGGGGGUGAAUUGAGGCUGGGAGGGUAGAGGGGGUUCUGUCUUGCGAGGAACCUACUUGUGUUUUCUAAUGACAAACUUAACUCUAAGGGCUAUUUCUAAGACUGAAAGCUCAGCUUCUUUUCUACGUUAAACAUUUGAGGGUCGUGGGAGGUGCACGACAUAAGACAACACUCAACUCAGCUUGGAGAGGAGCCAAGGAAAGAAGAGAAAAUAAUCAGAUAGUUCUGGCACACCAGCGACCUGCCUCAAAAAAACAAAAACAAAAACACACCCCACUUUUGAGAAGUUGUAUCAUAAUGAUGUUCUGCUGAGUGUCUAAAUCGCCUCAGACUCUGCAUACUUCUAUGAAAUUACGCGAUAAUUUUUUAAAUAAGUUUUCUGGCAUCUAUUUUUUUGCUUUCAAUAACUCAUCACUGGUGGUACUUUUUCUUAAAGAAUAAACUAAUAUUUUUUAUGUUUUAACAUUGGGCAGUUUUAGAUGAUUAAUGAUGAGUCAGAUAUUAAAACAAAAAGGUAAAAGGUAUAGCGACUAGAUGACAUAGGGGUUAAAUUAAUAUUAAAAUAAUCCAACCUAGCACUUUUGAUGAUUUUUAUAUAAAGUUUAAUGUACAUUUCAUUCAAAAUAAUAAAUACUUAUUGCUGCUGAAACUUCAUAAAUGGUUGUUUCUAUUGUAGUUAUUUUUAUUUUUAUUUUAUUGUAGUUAUUUUAAAUUGCCCAUCUUCACUUCCUCAUUCACAAUGUCUCAAUUUCAUUUCUCUUAAAUGGGUGUUACCCUCCCUAACUUAUGUAGAAGAUUUUUAUUUUUGUAUGGUAUCAUUUUUUCAUGACUUCUGAAGAAUAACAUUAAUGAUGUUCAUUAUGUUUUACGCCACUAACAAUUAGGAAAUCAAUGCGUAGGGUCAGGAAUUUUUAACGUGUUAUUAAAUGUGUGCUACCUAUUUAUU